AAUCUCCAAGCUGCACGCAUUGAUCCAUGUGAUUGAGGGGAGAGAGGAGACUUCCACGAACGAUAUAUCAUCGAAGAGAUAUGUGAAAAACACCUUGAGGAUUGAUUCUAAACAACGUUUACCAUGUUUCAGUCGAUAUUAUGGAGUUAAUUUGGAAAAAAGUUCGGCGUUUUGAUGACUGAAUUUUGGGGGUUUUUUGGUAGCCAAACGUGACGCACCAAACGGAGCGAUUUCUCCUAAACAAAUAAUCUUUCAGGAAAAACUGAGCAUUUGCUAUCUAACUGAGAGUCUCCUCAUUGAAAACAUCCGAAGUUCUUCAAAAGAUGCCUACACAUCAGAAGAUGGUCAAGAGAGUUAUUCUCAUAGAGGGUGACAUAAGGAAGGUGGCCGCGAAGCCUGAUGAAGUUGAGGAUUUGAUUAGCCAAAUUAAAGGAGCACUAGGACUUGAUUGCAACUUCACUUUAACUUGUAACUUGAGCAACAUGGCAGACAUUGAAAAGGCCAUUAAAAGUCAUCCCUGUGCUUGACCUGAUACCCCUCUAUGUGUCAAAUGAAAUACUUAAUGACACACUAUCUGCCGCGAAGCAAAUACAGAUUCUCUCCAACACUUAAUCUCAGGAAAGGUCAAAGCAGUGACCAGAAGUUUGAGAUUUUGAUGUUGAAUAUAGACUAUGACUAGGGGAUCAACUACCUCUUAAGGAUGGAACCUGCCUGUUAUGAAAAAGAGCUGAAACAUGACAUCCUUGUAAACUGACAGAAAGCAUUUACAGCCUUAAGGCGUUCCCAUGAGACACAGAUUUUGAUCAUGUUACUUCAGCACUGGUAAAAAAAAACAUCCUUGUCUUCAACAAAGAGGUUCACCCACGAGUUGGUGUGGAUGUAAGAUCAGCCUCAAGUACAAAAUGGGGAACUUCAGGACAAAGCUACGCAAAGCAGGAUACCAAGAUAUUUCUGUUUCUGUUCUGUUUCUGCGUGAAAGAAACUCAUCUGAGGGAGAACCACCAAACAAGAACAUUAAGAAGGCGAAGAAAUGUGAGCUCAACUUCUUACCCAAUUUUUCUGAGGGGCUUGAUCAAUCCAGCCUUGAAGAUCCACCAAACGUCCUGGUAGAGGAAAUGCAGAAGAGCACACCGAAUGGAUGAACUUUGAAGCAGAAGAUGGAUCUGACAUUUGCUCUGAGACACAAAGAAGUGGUGGAGUCAGAACCUGCCAUAUGCAAGUUGCCUGCCAUAGGAUAGUUGAACGUUGGCCUGCUCUCUUCAAGGAAAAUCUAGUUUCAGUUUUACCCUUUGUUUGACAUAAUGGAUAAUCUCAGGCACCAUCUCAAUUGCAUUAAAUGUGGCUCCACUAAGAACAAAAUGUAUUGAUUGCUGAAAAGAUGCAUGCAUUCCAAAGGUCAACUUGGAGUUCCACCCGAUUGCUUGCAAGAAUUUGUAGCAGGAUUUCUAUGAUGGCCUAGAUCGCCACAGUCCUCGUCUCAUCGAGACUUUCAGAUGCAAGUGUGGACAUGCUGGACAGCUGCUGUCAAAGUUUCUACAAUAAACCAAGGUGACGAUGAGACGGACAUGUCACAAGAGGAAAACAAUGCAAUGUAAAACACAGCGUGCCAAUAAGAAGACCAUUGUGCAAUGCCAAACAAAAGGUGCAAAGAAGGCUGUGCUCUCAAAGAAGCUUUCCCUGUUGGGCAUCUCUGCACUUGGAGCCAAUCAGAGACCUUCCC
ensembl:lncRNA